AUUAGCUGGUUGGUGAGGUAACGGCUCACCAAGGCGACGAUGCGUAGGGGUUCUGAGAGGAAGGUCCCCCACACUGGAACUGAGACACGGUCCAGACUCCUACGGGAGGCAGCAGUGAGGAAUAUUGGUCAAUGGCCGUAAGGCUGAACCAGCCAAGUAGCGUGAGGGAAGACUGCCCUAUGGGUUGUAAACCUCUUUUAUGCGGGGAUAAAGGUGUCCACGUGUGGAUGUUUGCAGGUACCGCAUGAAUAAGGACCGGCUAAUUCCGUGCCAGCAGCCGCGGUAAUACGGAAGGUCCGGGCGUUAUCCGGAUUUAUUGGGUUUAAAGGGAGCGUAGGCCGGUCUUUAAGCGUGCCGUGAAAUUUUGUGGCUCAACCAUGAGAGUGCGGCGCGAACUGGAGACCUUGAGUGCGCGGAAGGCAGGCGGAAUUCGUGGUGUAGCGGUGAAAUGCUUAGAUAUCACGAAGAACCCCGAUUGCGAAGGCAGCCUGCCGCAGCGUUACUGACGCUGAAGCUCGAAAGCGCGGGUAUCGAACAGGAUUAGAUACCCUGGUAGUCCGCGCGGUAAACGAUGGAUGCCCGCUGUCGGCGAUAUACAGUCGGCGGCCAAGCGAAAGCGUUAAGCAUCCCACCU
rnacentral:rRNA from 1 species